rnacentral:rRNA from 1 species
CCUACGGGUGGCUGCAGUGGGGAAUAUUGGACAAUGGGCGAAAGCCUGAUCCAGCCAUGCCGCGUGUGUGAAGAAGGCCUUCGGGUUGUAAAGCACUUUCAGUGGGGAAGAAAGCCUUGGGGCUAAUACCCUCGAGGAAGGACAUCACCCACAGAAGAAGCACCGGCUAACUCCGUGCCAGCAGCCGCGGUAAUACGGAGGGUGCGAGCGUUAAUCGGAAUUACUGGGCGUAAAGCGCGCGUAGGCGGUCUGAUAAGCCGGUUGUGAAAGCCCCGGGCUCAACCUGGGAACGGCAUCCGGAACUGUCAGGCUAGAGUGCAGGAGAGGAAGGUAGAAUUCCCGGUGUAGCGGUGAAAUGCGUAGAGAUCGGGAGGAAUACCAGUGGCGAAGGCGGCCUUCUGGACUGACACUGACGCUGAGGUGCGAAAGCGUGGGUAGCAAACAGGAUUGGAUACCCGGGUAGUC